rnacentral:ncRNA from 1 species
UAAUUGAAGAGUUUGAUCAUGGCUCAGAUUGAACGCUGGCGGCAGGCCUAACACAUGCAAGUCGAGCGGUAACAUUUCUAGCUUGCUAGAAGAUGACGAGCGGCGGACGGGUGAGUAAUGCCUGGGAAAUUGCCUUGAUGUGGGGGAUAACCAUUGGAAACGAUGGCUAAUACCGCAU